UACGUAGGGGGCUAGCGUUGUCCGGAAUCAUUGGGCGUAAAGCGCGCGUAGGCGGCCCGGUAAGUCCGCUGUAAAAGUCAAAGGCUCAACCUUUGAAUGUCAGUGGAUACUGCCGGGCUAGAGUCCGGAAGAGGCGAGUGGAACUCCUGGUGUAGCGGUGGAAUGCGCAGAUAUCAGGAAGAACACCAACGGCGAAGGCAGCUCGCUGGGACGGAACUGACGCUAAGGCGCGAAAGCGUGGGGAGCGAACAGG
rnacentral:rRNA from 1 species